rnacentral:sRNA from 1 species
CAUACUUAUUUUUAUUUAUUUUUUUAAAAAAUGGAAGUAGAGAAAAACAGACUCAAGAAAAAUGUAAUCAAAAGUUCUAAGUACCACUGCUGCUGGGUAGGCACUUCGUUAUUUUAAUUUUCUUUCUUUGAUUUUCAUGAUUUUUCUAAAAUAGAUGGAAACAACUUUGAAUCAGAAAAGAUGAAUGAAAAAGACUAUUUUAAUCUAAUUCUUUUCAUGGCAAUUCUUACAUUUGCCAGAAAAUUAUUCUUGAUGACAUGAGAAGAUGAUUCAAAAUCAUCAACCAUCUUCAGAAGGCCUAACUCUGUGAGAAUCUGACGUACUUCACCAUGGCGAGAACAGUGAAUAACAGUGGCCUCAUUCUGCCAUGAUGACGAAUGGGUGAAAAGGCCUACCCGACAUGCCCUGGUCUACUGUUUAUACAGUGGUUAAACUAGGACCCAAUACGAGAACAGCUACGCACAUUAGUUAAGGAUUGUCCUUAGAGAGAACAGCAAAGAACUUUGGAGAAAAGAUGAACAUUAAAUAAUCUGAGUUCAUGCUGUCAGACGAGCGAGUUCACGUUCCGUUUAGACAGGUACAUGAGCAACAUCAGACAGCACACAGUAAUUUGGAACAGCUGUUGGCAGGCUUUCAAAUAUGUUAGUGUAAUUUUUUUUUUGAUUAAUCCUGUUAAAGUUUUCCAGGGAGUACACAGUCGUGAAAUUACACGAUCACUGGUUUGGUUGCACACUAUAUUUCUUGAGAUCUAUGAACAUUUACUUCUAGGGCAUAAAAGAUGAUGUUUAUUUUAGUAUUUGGAAAGGUACGUUAGCCAUAAUGGGCCAAUAUGCUGGCUCUAUCCAAUGGCUUGGAAGAUCUGCAACUCUGGCCCUCCAGAGAGGAGGCUUCAUCUUGCCUUCCUACCAAGGGCCACUCUGAAGGACUUUCAUCAUUCCGAGAAGACAGGCAUGGUGCUGGGCGAGUAAGUCACUUGUUUGCAGAAGGUGAGAUCAGAUGAGGCACAGUAGAGCCCUAUCUUCAACUGAGAGAACACAAUUUACUAUCUGUAAGUAGCCUGAGAAAUGCCUCUUCCUGACAAUGUCCGUGGCCAGUGAGAAUCCAUCUGUAACGUGUGGUCACAUGCUCUGCUGCUAAAACUUCAUGCUUUGCACUCUGGACCAUCACGCACACUGUCCUUCAUAAUAUUGUCUACAUAAUUUUUAUUCAAAGUGCUUGGAACUUGGCAACCAUCCCAAUACUAAAAGGCUACACGCUUGGCUGAGACUCCAGUUGCCUGAUGCCAGGCUGAGCCCAGAGGAAGCACAGUUCUGAAGACCCAUGGAGGACCUGCUCUGGCUGUUACUACCAGGUUGCUGAAACCAAACUGAUGCUCUGCUAGUGGCUCGGUGUUGGUUCAUGCAGUCGCUCACUCAAGUCACCACCGCCCGUGCUAUCUUGUGUGUGUGUGUGUUUCACCUCCAACUAGUACUGUCACGCACCAGAUACUGGAUAACGCUGACAAAAUGCUGACAAAAGUAAGCUAGGCACUGUAGAUGGUAACUCGCACUUUACCUGCUCAGACGGGAUAGAAAGUGGAGCAGUGACAAUGCAGAAGGCCAAGCACACCUCCCAGACAAGGAGAGUUGGAGAGGAGAACCUGCUCGCUUCCUCACUGGGGGCUUUAAGACCUGUUGACUGCAUACCUCUGCUAAGUACUAAGUUCCAGGAAUAUGAAAGAACAAGACAUCGCCACACUCUAUGAGCCUGUGUCCUGGAAGGAGGGCCAGAUAUAAGUGAGUAAGGAAGAUACAGCUUGUUACGAUGGCGAUGAUGCUUUAGCAGAAUGUAAACUUGAGAGUGUGGGACUGGGUUGCCGUGGUGAGCAUGGCUAGCUCGCAUCUCUCUAGCCAGGUGACAUGAGGACAGAAGGAAGGAGUGCCAGCCCUUCAGACCCGAGGGAGGGACCCGGAGGAAGGGAGCACCAUAUAAAAAUCUUGGGGAGGAGUGUGCUUGGCUCACUGCAGUAGAGGAAGAUGCCACAGUAGGAAGAAGUUGUGGGGUGAGGAGCCGGGGUACACCGUGCUUUACAGUCAGUGUCAAUACCAGGCUUCUGGACAUCUACUUAAGACAGCUGAGAAAGAAGGCAAAGUCCAUGCAAAGCUAUCCAGUGACCAUGCAGAGUUGUCAAGUGACCAUGCCAAACUGUCAAUGACCAGGCAUAGCUGUCAAGUGACCAUGCACAGCUAUCAUGUGACCAGACACAGGACAAGUCUUGACACUAUGCUCACUGCCCUGGAACUGCACACUACGUGCCACCCCUUCCCAAUGCCAGAAAAAUUGUCUUGCAUAUCCUUUUUCAAUUUUUAAUAUGAGGGGACCAUAUAUAAUGCUUUUCAUUUUUGUUUAAAUUAAGCCUACUUUUCACUUUUAAAACCAAAGCUGUUUCUGACCGAUGAGAACUUUUGAUUCACAGAACACCAGGAAGAAUACUCAAAAGGAUAAUUAAUCCUCAAAAACAUAUCACUCCCUUCUUCCUGGUGAGGCUUCCAAGGACUAAACUGAUUCCAAAAUUCCUCACUGAGUCACUUAAUGAAGAUCAGGAAUACUUCAAAAAAAAAAAAAAAAAACCAGGAAGAACAAGAUCCAGGAGUCAAAUGGUUAAAUUCAACUUAUCAUCCAGCCCAAAUCGAUGAGGUACCACAUAGAGAGCUAAAGGAAGGGCAAGACACUGUUCUUCCAGAACGAAAUGGGAGGCAGAGAGUGUAAUUCUCAUUAUACGUCUGGAGUUGACUGAACACAGCUGCAGCCACCGUCCUAAUUCUUUGUCUGGCAGUCUUCCAGGUCACUGUCAUUGGUGUCACUGGUGACACUGGGUCUAUGGGUUACAGUGGCUUGUAGGUGAGGUGUGUUGACUUGGGUUUACCUGUGUUUCUGGACUGGCACUUGCCCCCAGCAGUUUUUUGGUUUUUGGUUUUUGUGGUUUUGGUUCCUUAUAUUUUGAUCAAGGCCACUUUUCUUCUUUAAGUGAUGCAGGAAUCCAGGAGGGCUGGGCAGCAGAGAGGAACAAAAUUCUACAUUUCUGCCUUGUCAAUGAUGCAAUACCUUUAUCCCUUGGAGCAACAUGAGCAUGUGUAGUUUAGUCUCUGAUUUGCCCAAACAAUCACAUGGGGCAACUCUGUUCUUGCUGUUUGGUUCCUCGUUAUUCUGAUUACUUUUUUCAAUUGUUAAUGAAACUGUAUUUUGUAGGCUUUUGUCUUUGGUUUUUCUACCCUGAGGAACUCUACCUGUGCUCACCUGUGGCUCUCAAGUGACUCCAUUUUGCCUGUCCCAGGAUGCCCACCAUCCGAAACCAAGGUUUAUGUAAUGUCCUACACAGCCACCCAAUCUUGUCUCCUUACCCCAAAUUUCCCACCCUGAUUCCACUAAUGGAAGACACAGCUCCCUUCUGCUCCUUAAGACUCACAGAUCAAAAUAAACUAUAGUUCUCCUGGGGUCAUGGGACUUCUUUCGAUCUCCCUUUAACAGAAAAGUGAGCCUUCACUGCAAACCACGGUUUCAGGAGGGGUUAGAUGCUCCCAUGCCCGUCUGCAGUGGUAAACCUGUAUUUCCUAUUUCCCUAAAUUCAACUUUCUGUCUGAACAUCCAGAGGCUCUGCCGGAUGGAGGCUUUAAUCCAGCUUUCUGUUCAGGUCCUGCCAGUGUGCAAUGCCAUCUUAUCUACGACCCGAGCUACGACCUGUCUUCCUCCGUUCCUUUAAUGUCACACUCCUGCCAUCUCCAUGGUUUCAGAGCAGAGGGCGGGCACAAAUUCUUAGCAGCUACAAAUCCGUUCUGUUACUGUGGAAAGACAACGAACUCAGAGUCAUGUAAUCCAAUCCCCGAGACUUCCGCCAUCUCUCCUUCUGCUGGGCAGCUGUCUAGGGAAGGACCAGGCCUCCAGCAGAGCCACCUUCAUGCGUCCUGGAUAACAUGCCACUUCCCAUGUUCUCCUCAAUUAAGACAACAAUACUUGGCCUCCAUUCAACCAAGUUAGCUGCAAUGUUCCUCGAUCUCAAAAAGCUCUCUUUUAAGGGAAAAACAUUUAAACUCAAUAAAAACCACAGAUUCAAACUAAUAGAAUAGACACAAGCUCUCUGGAUAACUUGAAAACCAAUUUACUUGUCCUACUAACUUAACUUUUUAAAGUUCUCAGCUCUGGUCACCAUCUUGGGGGAUGUACCGUCCAAGUUUCACACAGGAAAAGGUCUCCUGAAGAAAACUGCCAAGGGAAUGCCAAAGCAACGGAAGUGAAGCGAAAGGGAAGUAUGGUUGAGGAGGGAUGGGGAAGAGCUAGACCUUGGGGGAUGUUUACACACCUGAAGAAGAUGGUAUUAAUAUCGAAGCAGUGUAUGUAACAGGACAGUAUGUAAGGUCCUGUCCUAAGGACCAGUGACUCCACACAGUCCUACAGUGUUGGCCCUGACCACUGCACUGCAUACCUAUGCUAAGUUCUUCAGGCUCCAGAUUCUUCUGCUGAAACCAGAGAUGCUACUUAUUGAGGCUCUGCCCCACAGUGGCAUACAGGCCUUGAUUCUGUAAGUGUAUCCGCCCGCUGAGGCUAACAAGAGCAACUGCCAAGUUUGGAAAUCCCUUGCUGCCCUUUCUACUGACAUCCUAGCUCUGAGGACCUAAUAACAAACUCUUUGACAUUUCCAAGAGGCAAAAUCCCUCCUGUUCAGAAGAAAAAGCCAAGUUCUCUCAGCUAUGCUCAGGGCUCUUAGCAUCCUGAAACCAUACACCUUGGUAGUCCAUCAAAAGGUCAGGGUCAGGGCCCCACAAGACCUCCCAUGUGUUUGGCCAGGCUUUAGCACAAUGGACCUUAGCUCUUCCUGCUAACAGUCCAACUGCAAACAGGCACACUUGAGACCAGUAGGACUUUGAAUUUCUUUGUAAUUAGACAAAGCUUUAACCAUUACACCGACAUCAAACAGCCUGCCACAGGAAAGCAGACGCACAUGUUGCUGCUGUAACGUCACGGGAAGCAGUUCAGUGACUGUCGGCUUAAUAAGCCUUUGCUCUCCAUCCUGCAUGUGUCCUCUGCUGCUUCCAAACAGGUGCUGCACAGUAAGACAGGAGAUGCCUCCCCUGGAGUGGGAGCAACUGGCUUGUAGGAGACCCAAUUUACCAAAUAACAACAAAAAUUCUUUAGUUCCUUACAGUCACUUCGACUAGUAGUUUUGUCCAGUAGUGAUGAAAAGUUAAGAGAGGAAUACCCACAGAAAUGACCUAUUUAUGUAGCCCAGAAGUUUCAGGUAUAAAACAGAUUCCGGAAAGUCAGUGUGCUCUCUUUAUUUUCGCUACUUCGUGAGGGAAGCAUAGGACAGAACCCCAUUAGCGUACAUUUCACCUUAUUUCUGUAUGUGCAUCUGAUGCUUUGAGUUUUUGUUCCCAACUAUACCAUGAAGAAUAAUCCUGAUGUCCUAGUUCCUGCUCUCACUGCUGGGAAAGCAACCUAAGGAGGCAGAGGAGUGUGGGCUCGCUGCGUGUCACGCCGCAGAAGUCCCUCAAGUCCACCUUCUCCUUUCUCGGCUUUCAUGCACCCAUUUCUCCUGUUUCUAAUCUUGUGUCAACAGCACCAUCAGCCUAACCACGAAAUCUGGAAUUCUAUCUCCUGUUCCUCCUCCUUCUCCAUUUCAGUCCUAUUUAUUAACUUUGCAAACUACGCUACCCUCUUUUAAGUAAAUAUAAGGACUCAAAGCCUCCAUGUUCACAACAGCCAAUGGUAGAAGCCACCCAAGUGUCCACAAUGCAUGAAUCCUAAGUAAACUGUAGUUUACACACACACCAAGCAACACUAUUCAGCCCUCAACAGGGAUGAAUCUAUAUAUCAUCAUAUAUGUGUCUUGAGCAGAUUAUGUUAAAAGAAAAUAAACAAGUCACAAAGGGUCAAAUAUUAUACAAUUCCAAGAGUACUGGCACCUAGAACAAUCCAAUUUUAAAAGGUAGGAAAAAAAUGGGGCCAGACAGACGGCUGUGCAGUUAAAAGCACUGACUAUUCUUCCGGAGAACCUAGGCUCAAUUCCUGCACAAACAUGGCGGCUCAGAGCUGCCCAUAACUCUAGUUACAAUGGAUCCAGCACUAUCUCCCAGCUUCCAUGUGGACAUGGUACACAGACAUGCAUGCAUGCAUACAUACAUACACACCAGCAAAGCACCCAUGCAUAAUAAAUUAACAUUUUAAGAUGAGAAAUGGAAACUUAUAA